CUUCUUAUGACUGGCCUGAUUGGGGUGAAGGGGUCCCCAUAUACAUGUCCUUGUCUCCUUUUACCUGUCACUGGACAGCAUACACACACUCAGAGCCUACUCCUGCCUUGGGCCCUUCAACCCUGAAGACAGCAGAAAAAUGGAUUGAGUUGAUUGGCCGAACCCAUGGGAAAGCAAGGAAUCUGCUAUGAUGAUGGCUGGGCUUGGGUUCCCUGUCAGCAGAAGACUCUAUUGGCUGAUGAAGCUGACGGCAGGGCCAUGUUGGAGGUACACCAGUUCCUAGGGAAGGCUGAUAGCAACAGUUCCUGGUGUGAGAAGAGCUCUUGCAGGUCUCAGUUACAAUACAUUGACAGACUGCACGGCAACCUGAUUCUGAAGAUGGUUCCAAAUUCACCUGUGAAGACAGGAAUGUAAAAAAAUUUAAAAACAGGGUAAGAAGUCUCUCUACUCUCUCAUUUACUAGGUAUAUUGUAUUUCUGUAGAUUUACUUAAAAGGUCUAAAUCCACCUUCAGUGAAAGUUAAGAUAAAAAUAAUGGUAAUAACUGCUGUCAUCUGACUGCUGAGCCAUGUACCGGUCCCAGAGUUAAGCCCUUGAUAUGUGGAACCAGUUUAUUGAGUGGACUGAACACAACAGCGACACAGACAGGAAAUGGAUUUCUCUUUCCCUCCAAAUGCUGCACUUCCAAACACUCUGCUAACUCCCUCCAGCCCCUUGAUGACAUAUUGGGCAGAUUCAUACUUUGAUUUCUCAUCAGUUUAGGUUAACAAGUACUGUUUUUGUUAGGAACCAAACUUGGGUCUGCUUGCCUGGCUUAGUAAAACCAGGUAUCUACCCCAAGGUUUGUAGUGAUGGAACAAAAAGCUUUUAUUGUAGGGGACCAAGCGAGGGGGAUCAAACAGUUGAAUGUUUAAAUCCUGACCUUCCUGAUGGCUUGUAGCAAGGAUUUUUAAGGCAGGGGUAAACUACAGGUAAGUGAAAGUCACAGUAUGAAUCAUAAAUUAAUACAUGAAGGUUACACAUUGGUUUAGACCUAAAAGGGUGAGAUAUGUUGAAGUGGAGCUGACAAGUCAUAAGUGGAUUUAGACUUUAUGAUUUGUAAUUGGUUAGGG
rnacentral:lncRNA from 10 species